CUUAACAGCGCGUUCCCGUUGGCGUCUGAGGAACAGCAUCUCUGCCUUCCUGUUCACGGUGACCUUCGCUUGGUGUCCUCCUGGCCUCAGCAACCUGACAAUUCUGUCGUGUCCCGGACUCAGUGACCUUUGAGGAUGUGGCUGUGGACUUCACCCAGGAGGAGUGGACUUUGCUGGAUCAAACUCAGAGAAACUUAUACAGAGAUGUGAUGCUGGAGAACUAUAAGAAUCUAGUUGCAGUAGAUUGGGAGAGUCAUAUUAAUACCAAAUGGUCAGCACCUCAGCAGAAUUUUUUGCAGGGGAAAACAUCCAGUGUGGUGGAAAUGAAUUCAGAGUAAAAGGGAGAAUCUCAAUGAAAUAAAUUUGGAAAACUUCUAUGAACCAUCAUUAAUUUUCACCAACAGGAGAGAAACCAUUUUGGAGAGGAACUGUUUGACUUUAACCAAUGUGAAAAAGCCUUGAGUGAACACUCAUGCCUUAAGACUCACAGGAGAACUUACUUUAGAAAGAAAACCUGUGAGUGUAAUCAAUGUGAAAAAGCCUUCAG
rnacentral:lncRNA from 1 species